AAACACGGUCAGAAACGCCUUUGAAAUUUUCUGCUAAACGCUAUCGGAAGCACUUUUAUAUUGUGCUUGUGAAAUGCGUAGUAGUGAUUGUUUGGUAAAUUUUGAGGUAAACUUGUCAGAGAGAAAAUUAGGGUUGUAUAAACCCCUUCAUCUCGUCGGCCCUCCCUCCUCGCCUUUCUCGGACUGUCUUUGUCUCCUUCUCUUCUUCUUCUAAGCGCUUGUAGCGUCGCCCACAACAACAAUCGUGCUAAGGGUUAGGGUUUCCAGUUCUUUACUCUGAUUCUUCCAACAAGUCUCUUUCCAAUUCUGUAAUUUUGUAGGAUUAGGGUUUUCGUUUCGGGCUUUCUCUCCGUGAGCGAUUUUCCCGACUCUUAGACCUGUUUUGUCAGACCACUUAAAGCGAUGCAUUGUUGGGAUUAUAGAUCGAGCAAGUCAUGUUCCCCCAUCCAACAUUUCAAGGGGUUUCGUAAUUGAAGCGAGUUGUCAACUUUUAGCUGCAAGCAAACUUUAGUGGCAAAGAUAUGAACGUUGCGCAAACAAAAGAUAGUUUUAUAAUGAAGCCUAUUGAUCAAAGAGAGCGCACCAGAAACCGUAAUGAUAUUCAGACAAGUCGCAUGAAGAACAGAGAACGACAACGUAGGUAUAGGGCCCGUAAGCGUCUUGAAGCAGAUUUGAAGAAGUCUAGCAUCAUAAAGCAACCAACUGCACCAGAAGUAGAAGUGCAACGAAAUGAGUUCAUUUACACACCCCGUGUGUACUGUAAACGAGAUUGGAAAAAGGAUGCAAGGAGUGCUCAUGCUUUUAAGGCCCCUGAAUUUACCCAUAAUGGUUAUGCCAUCCCUACUCUUACGUCAAUCAGUGAGGGUCAAAGUGUGUUUUUGUCUGGAGCAGAGCUACAAUUAGAUAGUGAAUCCCGGUCUGAGAUAAUUGUGAACCAGAAUAACUGCGAAAUGCAUGUAUCUAAUUUUGGUCGAAGAGAUUGGAAAGCCGAUGCAAGAAAGAAGAAAAUCUAAGGCAGAUGGCCGAGGAGUCCUAACUAUUCCAUUUGUAUGGUAUGGUACUUUAUGGGUUUCAUGUCUGAAUUUUCAAGUUAUGCUCUUAAUGGCGUACAAGGGACGAGGAAACAGGAAGCGUAGACUCUAAGUUGAUUAUUGGGUUGCAUAUUCGGAAGCCUAACAAUGACAGAAACAAUCUCAAACCUUGUUACCUAUUGAGUUAGAAAACCAGGUAAGUGGUCAGACUCAUUAUAAUGUAUGAUAACUGUUAAUGAAGCAUAUAGAGAAUUUCACCAGAUGUUUCAUCUGUGAGGAUUGAUGGGAUUUCAAUGUCUGUGUGUUUUUCUUUUUUGGUUUGGACGAAUGUCGCUUCUUUUAUGCAGUGCUACCACGUCAUAAUGACGGGCAUGCCUUUGAUCUUCGUUGUAUGCUUAACAAGUUUCAAGAAAUGUGAAUUGACAUGCUCUUUCAGUAACAAUAAUGCAUUUUGUUGUGGUA